rnacentral:rRNA from 1 species
UAGGGAAUCUUCCGCAAUGGACGAAAGUCUGACGGAGCAACGCCGCGUGAGUGAAGAAGGAUUUCGGUUCGUAAAACUCUGUUGUUAGGGAAGAAAAAAUGUAUAGUAACUAUAUACAAAAGAGACGGUACCUAACCAGAAAGCCACGGCUAACUACGUGCCAGCAGCCGCGGUAAUACGUAGGUGGCAAGCGUUGUCCGGAAUUAUUGGGCGUAAAGCGCGCGCAGGUGGUUUAGAAAGUCUGAUGUGAAAGCCCACGACUCAACCGUGGAGGGUCAUUGGAAACUAAUAAACUUGAGUGCAGGAGAGAAAAGUGGAAUUCCUAGUGUAGCGGUGAAAUGCGUAGAGAUUAGGAGGAACACCGGUGGCGAAAGCGGCUUUUUGGCCUGCAACUGACACUGAGGCGCGAAAGCGUGGGGAGCAAACAGG